rnacentral:antisense_RNA from 1 species
CCGCCGACUGCCGGGCCGGGGAGCGCACCUGCAUCCCGAUCCGGCCUGCUUCGAGCAGGCGGAGCGACGUCGAGCCUUCGGGCGGGCGUUGCGACUCACCGGUGUU